rnacentral:rRNA from 1 species
GGAUUGCAGUCUGCAACUCGACUGCAUGAAGCCGGAAUCGCUAGUAAUCGCGGAUCAGAAUGCCGCGGUGAAUACGUUCCCGGGUCUUGUACACACCGCCCGUCACACCAUGGGAGUCGGAAAUGCCCGAAGCCGGUGGCCUAACCGAUAAGGGAGGAGCCGUCGAAGGCAGGUCUGAUGACUGGGGUGAAGUCGUAACAAGGUAGC